UUUUUAAUAUACCAGAAACGCGAGCUUUUAGACGUUUGAGCUGCUUUUCAUAAUAUAAGAUGGCUAAUUACUUGUACUUUAUAAUUUAUUGUUACCAUUAGUCUAAUUUCAUCAAUAAAUUUGUAUAGGAAAGAGAAAAGGUAAUCGUGAGUUCUAACUGAAGCGAAAAGAAACACACUUAGGAACAGUAGCUAGAAGUGCUAAUAGAGAUUAGUAACACAAACAGUUAUUGCUGAAACUAAGAAUUAAAGUAUGAGAUAAUAAUUAUUAUAGAAAACAACCAAAAUUACGUAUUAAAGAUGUACAACAACAUCCGAGUCAAUGUUUUUGCCUUUUUUGUUUUUUUUUUUACUUUUUUUCCUUCAUUUUUCCCUUUUUUUUUUAAAUAUUUGUCUGCAUUUCCUAAAAACGAAAGGAGUUCUCAUUUGAAAAAUGAUCAAAUCUUUCCAGAAAGUUUACAUCUCUAUUUUAUAUAUAUGUAUAUAUAUAUAUAUAUAUAUAUAUAUAUGGUAAUAUAUAUAUAUACACACAUAUAUAUACAUAUUAUAUAUAAUAUAUACACACAUAUAAUAUAUAAUAUAUAUACAUACAAUUUAUCAUUAAUAUAAUUAUUAUAAUUAAUACUAAUAUUAUCAUUUUAUUGUAAUUACUACUACUAAUCUCUCACGCUCUUGCUCUACGGCUUCUGUUCAAGUGAUAUGAUUCUUUGACUUUUUGAUUCUUUUCCAUAUAAUACUGAUUUGAUCAAGAGCAUUUGAACUUUUUUUCAAACUUGAACAACAUAACGCACUUAUUGUAUCAAGCACAAUUUUUUAGUGGUUUCUUUCUGCCACCUAUGUACAUGUUUCAUUAAUUUAAAUGCGUACUUAACGGUACUUGUUAAACAAAGGAGUCUUGAUUCAAAGCAAACAGCCUCCUACAAUGAUAUAGCUAAUGAAACUAAUUUCUCACCACGAUGAUGAUUAAUUAUUAUCAACAACAAUAUUCUUAAGAAAAUUCAAAUAAGAACAAAAAUUAGGAAAUACAUAUUUUCCAUAAAAUUUUCAAUCACUUCAACCGAACAUAUCAAACUGAUGAAAUACAUUAAAAUGAAUGUAGUCGAUGCAAUGAAAACGACAAUUCCUUAGUUACAUUCUUUAUAAUAGAAUUUUUUGUUAAAUAACUACGUAAUAUAUUAUGUCAUUAAACAUGACAUUAUUGCUAAAACGAUCCUUCUCUUUUAUAUAUAAUUGCAGAUUAGCAACAAAAUUACAGAACUCCCUUAUUGCUGCUUACAACACUAAUACUAUACAAUAUUCACUUUUAAAAACAUGUACUGUUGUUAUGCUAAGAAGUAUUGCUUAACAGUUAAGAGAAAAAAUAUCGCAUUCAUCUUAUUGCCAAUGACACAUACAUCUGAGAUAUACUAAAACAUAUUCCCUUGAUUAUCAAUGUCAACAGUUAGUAAACAGCAAUAAAGUGUUAUAUUUUAAUAAUUAUAAUACUAUUGCUUCUGCUUCUAGCACGACUAAUCGUGACUAUAAUACCACUUGGUCAACAAUGAAUUGUUAUUAUUUAGCGAGAUGCAAACACAUUCAUUUGGACCUAUAUUUAAAAAUAGUUUAAUA
rnacentral:misc_RNA from 1 species